rnacentral:lncRNA from 1 species
GAGCGAGGGCACCACACCACUCAUUUUCCUGAAAAUGCGAUCCCACGGACGCCUGAAAUCCAGUGCCAGGGGUGGAGGGAAAGCACUUUGAAAAGGCGGGUGAGGGGUCCUGCAGGGCGCUCGGCGACUUUCCAAGCCAGGGCCCCCGACAGACAGAUGCCUCUGAGCCCCCAGCCAUUGGACCCAACCAACCUGCCCUGGUGACCCCUCUGCUGGGUGGGCCAGGUUCUCCCCGGAGGGACCCAGCCUUGUGGCUGAGCAACAGCUUCCCCUCCCCAGACACAGGCCCUGAGCCUGGAGAGUGGGACUAGGGGGUUGAGGUCACCCUGCUCCUGUCACCCCCAUCUGCACAUUGGGGUAAAGGGCAGCAGUCACUCGAGAAUUAAACAAGGAGAGAGCCAGUUGCCCUGAGCGGGGGGAGGAGAGGAUGUCUGGGGGCCUGGAGGGAGAGUGGCGUCUGCUUUCCUCAUCCUGAGGAGAGAGGAUCUGCAGAAGGUUCCACAGCCCAGAGGAAGAAAGCAGGAGAGUCAGGUGCCUCGGAAAGAGAGUGGAGAGCAAAGCUGCUUCUCACAGUGAGGAGAGUGUCCCCUGUCAUCGUCCCCGCCCCCAACCCCAGAGUCAGCAGGGGCUCCGACAAAGGGGGAGAGAACAAUUCUCUCCAGGAGGUGGCGCAGCCCCUGCCUGGGGAGCUUCAUCUGAAGUCCAGGCCCCCAGCGGAGGCCAGAGCCCUCAGCCUCCCCAGGCCCGAGGUUCUUCACUGGGGCAGGAACAGGCAGCGGGGCACUGCCCCCAGGGGAGAUCUCGGCUGCAGGAAGAAGCGGCUGGUUUCCUUCAGGAUGGUUGAGAGUUGGUUUCCAUAGAGGAAUGGGAGACAGAUUGUGAAGGCUCUGGACACCUAGAAAAGGGCUGUGAAGAAUGAUGCAGCACCAAGAUGGGAGGUGGAGAAGCUGGAAAACACCUGGUCAAACCCCCUCCACAGGUCUAGGGCGGGCUGCAGGAAAGCUGCGGACAGAUCCUGGAGACGCCCUCUACAGACAACACGGCAUAGUUUUAAACUUGCAGGACAAGAUCCUAUAACCCAC